UGGAUAUGACUCAUUCUGUUGAUCUUCGCUUCACCAUAAGUCUUCCCAAGGAAAACUUGUUUUGAUUAAUAUUUAAAGUACCUUGGGGAUUGUUUCCUGUUUUUCCUCAGCUGUCUACCCCCUUGUCAUUAUCUCACAGAUGAUUUGUUAGGUGUGCAGGUUUGUAUUGUUUCUGAUACUACAAGAAAAACAAGUAGGGCAGUGUUUUUCCAACUGCUAUGCCCAGGAAGCUGUGGAGAGGAGUGGAUGUUACAUGGUGGCAGUGUGCAAAUGUAUUGGAUGGACCUCAACUCUUCACGACAUGGUGACUUGAUGAGACGAAGGUGAUUUACAAAAAAGACUGGAGGCUCCUAACUUGGUCCUCAGGUGAACACACUAUUUUUGAAGAGGAAAAAAGGUGGGAUUUCCUUCCUGCCAGUGUGUGCACUGCACAGGAAGAAAUAAUCAACCCAGUUUAUUCUGGACCCUAUCAGUUCCUGACCACAUUCCGUAAAUGCAGGCAUUCGGAAGAAAACAAACUGAUACACAGGUAACAGAAACCAAACGAUGUACUGAUGGAGAGAUAGGGAAACUGUGACUAAAUGAAUUCAGAAUUCUCUCCAGAAGCUGGAGCUUUCUAGCAGGAGCAUAUUAAAUUAAAGAGGCUCUGCCAUCUUGCCCCCUACUUGAGUCCCUCGAUCAAAACUAUUUCAAGAAACAGAACAGAGAAACUUAUGAAUAAGCUUACAAGCACGAAGAGUCUCCUGGCGUUGAUUAAAGAAGUCUAUACAAUGUUCACUCCAAAGUAAUCUAUGCUAAUGCAAUUUACUAGGAAGAAGGAAGUUGAGCUCUGAGCUGUGACAUAUGGAGAGUUGCCUGAGGAGCCAGGUAGCCCAGAACUUCAGAAAAAAUUGCGUAAUUCCCAUGAAAAUUAAUUCUGUCUCUUUUUAUUAAGAAAAAUCUAACCUAAAAUGCAUAUAAUCAUUUGUGUCUGGUUCUGGCAUGUUGAACACCAUGGUGAAAAGGCAGGACAAUGUUUCAUGAAACGUGCAUAGGAGAAACUCUUUUUGGUGUGUUGUUUCAUUUGGGCUUUAUUUUAGGAGGGGGUUCUGUUUUGAUUUUCCUCUGGAAAGUAGACAUUGCCAGCUACAUCAAAGUGUAGUUUCCAAAAUAUGAAAUUGCAAAGCCCUCAGAACAUAUCUAGUUCAUCUGGAAUUUGUAAAUAUAUUCACUCGCUAUUCUCCAGGGGGAAAAUGGUUUGUUUUAGAUGAAUUUUGGAUGUAAAUUCUAAACAGGUGGACAGAACAGCAGGAGAUAUCAGGCUUUCCGCAGGGGGGCCGUGCCACAUAGUUGCAGAAAAUGAAUCACGGGGAUCAGUGGUAAAAGAAAUCAGAUUUGCCAAGCCAAAUAUUUAUAUAUGAAAGGAGCGUGAAUGCUCAGUAAAAUAUAGACCAGGGAUUCAAAGCCAUGUGUCCACAACCACAAUCAUGCAGACUCAUUGCAAGCCACUGACAGGACUUCACAAAAACAACACGCACAUUUUUAAUUCAAUUUUCCAAAUUUUGUGUUAUAGCCUGAGUGUUCACAUGGUGAAAAACAUCUCUUCCUAUAGACAGACUGCACGUGCACCUGGGAGUAAAGUUGUUUCUUAAUUACAGACAUUUGUGAGCUUCCCGCUGACGACACCAUUUGUGACACCGACAGGAACAGAGUUCAAAUGGAGAGGUGAUGAACUUUAUAUCCCUCCAAGUUAAAUAGUACAGAAGAGAGCGAGGGAGUCCCUGUGUCAUUUUCUAGCAAGGUACAAAUUGUCCCGAGAAUAAAUAGCGGAUGUUGUUUUUGGUGCCAUACUCCCAGGGGGACAUAGAUAUUUUUGUGGAAUUUCCAUUUAUUGCUGGCAUUCCAAGAAAUGGCAGUUUGUUUGUGUUCUUCCUAGUUGGCAAUUUGCAGGAAGCUUGAGAAUUUUAAUGAAAAAAAAUGCAUUUUAGACCUUUCAAAACAUUGGAAGUUCGGUGUUUAGUGGCCUUGGAUUACAAGGCUUCUUGAAAAGUCGUGUUCAUCUGUGUCUCCCAGCCGUAAAUGAGGAAGGCUCCUCGGCAAUGUUUGCCUUCUCACAGCCCCCCCUGAUUGUCCCAGGUGUUUUGCUCUGCAUGACAACCAAUAUAAUGAUAAUAAUGUCAUUAAGAUUUACUGAGCAUUUACUACUUACAAGACACUGGAUUAAAUGUUUUGUAUUCAUUAUCUCACUUAAUCCUCACUCUAACUCUGGGAGUUAAGUAGCAUUAUUAUCCCCUUUACAAAAUGGAUGAGGAAGCUGUAGUUUGAAGAGGUUAAUUAAUUUGUCUGAGAUUAUUCAUUCUAAUCUUUGGUACCACCAGACUCAAAAGUAGAAUUCUCUGACAAUAAAGCCAUGUGAGGCCUCUCAGUGCAAAGUGACCUGACUAUUCUCCAAGUUGAUCAUUUUAAUUUUCACUAAUUGCAGUUUUAGAGUAUCAGCCUUCAAAAAUUACCUCAAAACACUGUGGUAAGCCCAUGUUGUUUGACUUGAUUGAACUUGCCUUUUCAUGGACCCUGCAAAAGAUAUCUGCUGACUUUUCUCUCCAGCAGUUCUCUUGUCCCAGGUAAAUGACGAAGGUGAUGGCUUAGUACUCAUUCCUCAGCCCUUAGGUGUUUAACUGCCAAUUUCUUCUUACUGGAACCUCCACUCUA